rnacentral:lncRNA from 1 species
CUUUGGGAAUGUCAGGCCUCUGAGCCCAAGCCAAGCCAUCGCAUCCCCUAUGACAUGCACGUACACGCCCAGAUGGCCUGAAGUAACUGAAGAAUCACAAAAGAAGUGAAUAUGCCCUGCCCCACCUUAACUGAUGACAUUCCACCACAAAAGAAGUGUAAAUGGCCAGUCCUUGCCUUAACUGAUGACAUUACCUUGUGAAAGUCCUUUUCCUGGCUCAUCCUGGCUCAAAAAGCACCCCCACUGAGCACCUUGCGACCCCCCGCUCCUACCCGCCAGAGAACAAACCCCCUUUGACUGUAAUUUUCCUUUACCUAACCAAAUCCUAUAAAACGGCCCCACCCUUAUCUCCCUUCGCUGACUCUCUUUUCGGACUCAGCCCGCCUGCACCCAGGUGAAAUAAACAGCCUCGUUGCUCACACAAAGCCUGUUUGGUGGUCUCUUCACACGGACGCGCAUGAAAUUUGGUGCCGUGACUCGGAUCGGGGGACCUCCCUUGGGAGAUCAAUCCCCUGUCCUCCUGCUCUUUGCUCCGUGAGAAAGAUCCACCUACGACCUCAGGUCCUCAGACCAACCAGCCCAAGAAACAUCUCACCAAUUUCAAAUCCGGUAAGCGGCCUCUUUUUACUCUGUUCUCCAACCUCCCUCACUAUCCCUCAACCUCUUUCUCCUUUCAAUCUUGGCGCCACACUUCAAUCUCUCCCUUCUCUUAAUUUCAAUUCCUUUCAUUCUCUGGUAGAGACAAAAGAGACAUGUUUUAUCCGUGAACCCAAAACUCCGGCGCCGGUCACGGACUGGGAAGGCAGUCUUCCCUUGGUGUUUAAUCAUUGCAGGGACGCCUCUCUGAUUUCACGUUUCAGACCACGCAGGGAUGCCUGCCUUGGUCCUUCACCCUUAGCGGCAAGUCCCGCUUUCCUGGGGCAGGGGCAAGUACCCCUCAACCCCUUCUCCUUCACCCUUAGCGGCAAGUCCCGCUUUUCUGGGGCAGGGGCAAGUACCCCUCAACCCCUUCUCCUUCACCCUUAGCAGCAAGUCCCGCUUUCCUAGGGGGCAAGAACCCCCCAAUCGCUUAUUUUCACGCCCCAACCUCUUAUCUCUGUGCCCCAAUCCCUUAUUUCCACGCCCCAAUCUCUUAUCUCUGCGCCCCAAUCCCUUAUUUCCGCGCCCCAACCCUUUCUCUGCUUUUCUGGAGGGGAAGAAACCCCCACCCCUUCUCCGUGUCUCUACUCUUUUCUCUGGGCUUGCCUCCUUCACUAUGGGCAAGCUUCCACCUUCCAUUCCUUUCUUCUCCCUUAGCAUGUAUUCUUAAGAACUUAAAAUCUCUUCAAUUCUCACCUGACCUAAAAUCUAAGCGUCUUAUUUUCUUCUGCAAUGCCACUUGACCCCAAUACAAACUCAACAGUAGUUCCAAAUAGCCAGAAAAUGGCACUUUCAAUUUUUCCACCCUACAAGAUCUAAAUAAUUCUUGGCGUAAAAUGGGCAAAUGGUGUGAGGUGCCUGACGUCCAGGCAUUCUUUUACACAUCAGUCCCUUCCUAGUCUCUGUGCCCAGUGCAACUCGUCCCAAAUCUUCCUUCUUUCCCUCCCGCCUGUCCCCUCAGUACCAACCCCAAGCGUCACUGAGUCUUUCUAAUCUUCCUUUUCUACAGACCCAUCUGACCUCUCCCUUCCUCCCCAGGCUGCUCCUUGCCAGGCCGAGCUAGGUCCCAAUUCUUCCUCAGCCUCUGCUCCUCCACCCUAUAAUCUUUUUAUCACCUCCCCUCCUCACACCUGCUCCGGCUUACAGUUUCAUUCCGUGACUAGCCCUCCCCGACCUGCCCAGCAAUUUAUUCUUAAAAAGGUGGCUGGAGCUAAACGCAUAGUCAAGGUUAAUGCUCCUUUUUCUUUAUCCCAAAUCAGAUAGUGUUUAGGCUCUUUUUCAUCAAAUAUAAAAAUCUAGCCCAGUUCAUGGCUCGUUUGGCAGCAACCCUAAGACACUUUACAGCCCUAGCCCCUAAAAGGUCAAAAGGCCAUCUUAUUCUCAAUAUACAUUUUAUUACCCAAUCUGCUCCCGACAUUAAAUAAAACUCCAAAAACUGGAAUCUGGCCCUCAAACCCCACAACAGGACUUAAUUAACCUCACCUUCAAGGUGUGAAAUAACAGAAAAAAGUUGCAAUUCCUUGCCUCCACUGUGAGACAAACCCCAGCCACAUCUCCAGCACACAAGAACUUCCAAACGCCUGAACUGUAGCAGCCAGACGUUUCUCCAGAACCUCCUCCCCCAGGAACUUGCUACACAUGCCGGAAAUCUGGCCACUGGGCCAAGGAACGCCCGCAGCCCGGGAUUCCUCCUAAGCCGCGUCCCAUCUGUGUGGGACCCCACUGAAAAUCGGACUGUUCAACUCACCUGGCAGCCACUCCCAGAGCUCCUGGAACUCUGGCCCAAGGUUCUCUGACUGACUCCUUCUUGGCUUACUGGCUGAAGACUGACGCUGCCUGAUCGCCUCAGAAGCCCCGCAGACCAUCAUGGACGCCGAGCUUUAGCCCGCCUGCACCCAGGUGAAAUAAACAGCCUUGUUGCUCACACAAAGCCUGUUUGGUGGUCUCUUCACACAGACGCGCAUGAAAGGGAAGACAUACAAAAACAAGGCCUCUGAGGUAGGUACUACUGAGACAGCCAGGUGGGAAGGACUCCUUGGCAAAACUCCAACCAGCCUGUACACUGGGAGGAAUGUGCACUGGGAUGGAGCCAUAGAAGUUUGUGUCGUUUGCAGUGGGGAGGAGCCUGGUCCCUCCUCUUCCUGUGAGGAACCUGGAAUUCAAUCUGUGAGGAACUUCUUGAAAGACCCAUCAAUUCUUCAAUAGAAAGCAUCAAAGGACAAUUUACACCCUAAGACUGAACCCCUGACCUCAAAAUCUUUCCCUUGCUAUGUUCACCAACCUCAACAGAAAUAUUAGGAUUCUUACCUGAUCCUAGCCAAGCCCCCUCCCUCAUCUCCCAUUAAAGGGUCCAUCUUCAACCAAACUUAAGUCUCAAUAAAUAUCUGGACAUUGUCCUUCCAACUCUGGGAAGCUGCUAAGACUCUGUCCUUACUGCAGAAGAAAAAACAGCCUUGUACCCUGGUCUUCUCAACAGGUUGUUCUGGAGAUGUUCUGGGGAGACUGCAUUAAACACAGCUUCGCACCAUUGAAUAAACUCAGCAACAAGCCAAUGCAUAAAAGUAAUCUAUGCUUCAGGUCACAGAAGCUUCAAGGGGAAAAAAACAGAAUACUCUAGGGCCAUUGUUCACAAACUCAUCUGAAAACAUCCUGGAAAAAUUUUCCCAAACACAUGGAAAGAAAGAGAGGAAAAAAGAAGAUAUCUGAAUAAUGUGGACUAGAAUAAAGAGCUGCCAGGAGCUGUUUAUUUAAAAACAGUACUUUCUUCUCUGGCUGAGUCCCUGGUAUUCUCUGCUGCAAUCUGUAGCUGUAGAAUUUUGAAGAAUGCAAUUAAAUUCAAAUGGUUUGAUGAGUAAUAUCUUUUCUCUUCAUAUUUGUCUAAAACUUUUCUUUAUUGAAUAGCGAGAGUGAUGAAAGUGUUUUCCAUAAUAAUAACAAUGACAAGGGCCUGAUGAUGAACUACAAUUAGCUCAGUGAUUCAUCAGUUAGCAGUGAAAUUUUCAAUGCAUCCUGACAUUUAGAGCAUUUGGUUGUGAUUAACAGUCUUUGAAAUGUCACCGAAUUUUAUUUAAUUGGCUAAGAAAAAAUUUUAAAAGGUAAUCACUGCAAAGAUCACAUUCAUCGCCAAAAAUGAUAAUUGCAGUUGUCACAUGACAAGGUAGAUGCUAACUACUGUAGCAAACUUGCUCUGUGUUCUUACAGAAUCUAAUGAAUGCAGCAGAGAUCAAGAGCUUGAAGGGGCUUAGAAGUUUAUUUGAAUGCUCCUUUCAAAGCCAUUUGUAUCAAGAACUGCAAGCCUUUAAGUCAUCUGAGCAAAUACCAAAACUGAAAUGCAGUCAUGACACUGGCUCAGGACUGAGAUCUAAACAGUCAUCUUCGUGGCAACAGGUAUUAUUGGUAAAAGAGAGUCUGGAAAUUAGGGCCUAGCCUUUCUUGAGAGGCCAGUAUAGCUGAGUAGUAAAAAGUCAAGUUUUGGAGUCAGGUGUAACUAACCCACAAUCCAAGUUAUGAACUGUGGAGUGAAUGACUCACCUGCCUGGGCUUCUGCUUGCUCACCUGCAAAAUGACAACAGCCUGCCCUACAGAGCUGCCUGCAGACCAACAGCAGCAAGGCCUUGGGAGUCUCUGCUGGUCUCCCAGCUCCUGCUUGACACCUCAAGAUGAUGUUGCUCCAUUUAGUGCCUGUUUGUUCUCAGACUAUCCCAUGCCUUCUUCCUGCAAACCACAGCUCUCAAGCUCCCCAACAGUUUGACAAGGAUCAUACAAAGGGGAAAGGAAGCAAGGAAAGAAUCAAGGUCUUUCUAAGCAAUUUCUCUACGCUCUCAGGGGAUAGGCAUUUUCUGGCCGUGACUGUGUCUCCUCCAUAGUUCCAACUUCCACAGGACAGGUCCUUCCCUCCAUAGUCACAGUUCUUCUUGGGUAGCCUCCUCCACACUUCUGAAUGGCCCAUCUGAAUGGCCACAGUGACUCGGCGCUGAUGUCACCCCUCCUGCCUGUUGUACCCCCUGCCCUAGAGAGGAGAUGCCUCCUGCUGAUGCUAAUCUGUGGAUUGCUUCAUUCUCUGGUUUCUCAGCUUUUCCAUCCCUUAUGCCAUCAAUUGCCCGAAUUAAACUCCUACUAUUUAAAAUACCUAGAGUGGUUUUUAUUUUUCUGCUUCUUAACAUCUUCACUGCUAUCUCCCUAGUCCAAGUCACCAUUAUCUUACCCAGAUAACUUAAUGGCCUCCCUGUUAUUGUCCUUGCCCUCCUAGGGUUGCUUCUAAAUACAGCAGCCAGAAAAAUGCUGUUGAGUUCAAG